GUAUUUCAUAGGCAGGGGUUCAGUUUCUACCAUGGCCCAAAAGCAAACCAGGAGCUGUGUUACUAAGUUGGGAUCUCUAAAAAGCAGACUUUGAGAUAGACUUAGAGUGUAGGGUGUUUCCUAAGGAGUUCUUUGGUAUUAAUACCUGUAGGACUGAGGUGAUGGAGGCAAGAUUCAGGAGACAGAGAAGUGGGGAGCUCUGAAGUUAAAAUGGCCCUUCAGAGUUGUUCGUUUUAGAUUGCAUUAGCCAGGUCUUUCUACUUCCACUUUGACCAGUUAUUGGAUGUGGCUUACCGAAGGAUGGGUGUGACAGCUGAAGGAUAGCCACUAUGGCUCCUGGCACCCCAAACAAGUCCUUCUUUGGAGGGGAAGCUGGGUGGUGUAUCUCCAUGUACUUACAGUCCACCUGCUGUGCCACUAAGAUCCUCUUCAUGUUUAUUCGGGAGGUAACCCCUUGAUGGUUCUGAGGGGCCUCUUCCUGGGUGGAAACUUAGAAGAGAAAGUUUAAUGCAAUGACCUACCGCCCCUACUACUGAAACAGGUUUCAGGGUUAAAACUAAUCAUCAUUAUCUCCCUCUGUACUGCCCAUUUUAGGUUUCUUCUAACCCUCCAUUACCAUGCCUGCUGGUGUCACUAGCUUACCUGGUCGUGUAAUCCAGACCUUCAUCCCUGGUCAUCUGAGCCCUGGUCAUCAUGUCCUUCUCAAUCUGGAAUUGUUGCAUACAUUCAAUUACCAAAGUAACUAGGCAAAUACGUACCAUGAGGCACUCAAGUGGGUCCACUGGGUGCCAAAUGUAUAUUUCCUUGCCCCCAAUGUGUAAUAGAAGCCCUAUUUUCUCUGUCUGAUCAGAGUCAAGUUGGUCACUUCUCUUCUUGUCUUGAACCCUGGUCACAUGGAACCCAAAGAUUGAGGCUACUGCUUUAGCUUAUAUUAUGUUGGGGAUCUUGCUAUGUUCCCUGGUGGAAUUUUUUCCCUUUAGAGACAAAGGCUUUUAAUUCUGCAAAGCCCAGAUUUCAGAAAUGGGAAGCACAAAUUCCCCAACUGGGUUGUUGGGAGCAAUGGUAACUGAAGCCAUUUCUGCCAUAUAAACAGGUUAGUGUUGGUCUGAAUUGCUGGAAGGUUAGACAUUUGGCUAUAGAAGCAACUAGAUAAGCCUUGUUAAGUAAGGCAUAGACACGUUCAUCUUUGCCACUGUGGCCUCUUUGUUCAUGUGUCCAUCAUGCUAGUAGUGUUCUGGCUAAUGAAGAGGCUGUCUAAAGUUAAGUGGAGGGGCACCUGGGUGGCUCAGCUGAUUAAGCGGCUACCUUCAGCUCAGGUCAUAAUCUCAGAGUCCUGGGAGCAAGCCCACAGUAGGGCUCCUUGCUCUAUUGGGAGUCUGCUUCUCCAUCUCCAUCUGUGCUCUCUCUCACUCUCACUCUUGCUCUCUUUCAAGUAAAUAAACAAAAUCUUUGAACAAUAAAGUGAAAUGGAUAUAUAAUUUUGUCUAUUUCAGUGUUUAGUGACUCUUCUUGGUGAGAUGCCCUUUGGUGGUCAUUAAGUUAGUGCAUAUAGAUUUCCACACGUUAUGGUCACUCUCAUAUAUCUAUCAACGUGCCUCUAACCCAGAGCUCCUUACAUUCAGCCUUCCAACUUUUCAGGAUCCCAAAAUUUUGUCCUUAACACCUUUAUUCGAUGAAAAGAAACCAGAGCUUUUUGUAAGGUAGUUGAAAACAUGUCUGGAUCAGCAAUAAAAAAGAAUAAUUUUGUGAUCUCUUGCCAUGGCCAGAAGCAAGGAUGCUUUCAAUAUAAUGGGUUGGGUUAAAAUUCCAAAGAGGUCAGUGUAAGGAGUUUCCUAUCGGCCAAGUUGUGAUAAUUUAGUUAGUAAAAAUGGACCAAAGAUGUAUACUUGAUUAAAACAAAUUAAGUCCAUAAAUACCAUGGGUAUAUAUGGAUACUGAAAAAAAAAUGAUUUUCUCUUCAAAUAGUUAGCAUUACACUCAGUUUGAUUUUUAGUUUAUUGAUCCUUUGGCCAAUACUUCACCAUACUGAUUACUGCAACUAUACAAGACAUCUUGCAAAUAUGUAUGUUUACUUGUCACUUGCCAAUUCCUACAAAAAAAUCUGGUUGGAUUUUGAUUGGAAUUGCAUCUCUGUAGAGAUCAAUUUGGUCGUAAUAGACAUCUCAAUAAUUUGGGGUCUUCCAAUCUAUGAAUGUGGCAUAUUUCUCCACUUAUUUAAAUCUUCUCAACUUCUCUUUGCAAUGUUUUAUAAUUUUCAACGUAGAAGUCUUACAUAUAUUUGGUUAAAUUUAUUCCUAUUUACUUUUUGAUGCUAUUGCAAAUUAUAGUUUUUUAAUUUUAUUUUUCAUUUGUUGCAGUUAUCUGGAAAUACAAUGGAUUUUUAUAAAUCAACCUUAGAUCCUCAACCUUGCUAAAUCUACUCAUUAGUCCCAGUAGUUUUCUUGUAGGUUCUUUAGGAUUUUCAACAUAUGCAAUUAUGUCAUCUGUAAAUAAAGACAAAUAUUUUAUGUAUCUGUGUCUUUUAUUUACUUUUCCUGCAUACAUUGACUAGACCCUUCUUUAUAAUGUUGAACAGAACAGUGAUAACUUUCUGGCUUUGUCUCUAGUAUUAUGGGGAAGCAUUCAAUAUUUCAUCACUAAGUAUUAUGUUAGUAGGAUUUUUAUAGAUAUUCUUUACCACAAUGAGGAUGUUCCUAUUCUCUAGAGUGUCGAAAAUUUUCACAAAGUGCAUUCUGAAUUUUUCAAAGACUUU
rnacentral:lncRNA from 1 species